rnacentral:rRNA from 1 species
AACGCACCUUGCGCUCUCUGGUAUUCCGGAGAGCAUGCCUGUUUGAGUGUCAUGAACUCUUCAACCCACCAGUUCCUUGUUGAGCGGGUGGUGCUUGGAUUCUGAGUGUUUGCAGUUGUAUUUAUAACUGCUCAUUCGUAAUGCAUUAGCAUCUCAAUUUCGAACCUCGGAUUGACUCAGCGUAAUAGACUAUUCGCUGAGGACACCUCGACGUUUUGUCGGGUGGCCGAACUGUAGAUAAGAGUGGAGGCUACCAAUUCUUCUAGUCAAAUUCUAUUAAGAUUAGACCUCAGAUCAGGCAGGAUUACCCGCUGAACUUAA